rnacentral:rRNA from 1 species
AGAUUGAACGCUGGCGGCAUGCCUUACACAUGCAAGUCGAACGGCAGCACGGGAGCAAUCCUGGUGGCGAGUGGCGAACGGGUGAGUAAUACAUCGGAACGUGCCCAAUCGUGGGGGAUAACGCAGCGAAAGCUGUGCUAAUACCGCAUAAGAUCUACGGAUGAAAGCAGGGGAUCGCAAGGACCUUGCGCGAAUGGAGCGGCCGAUGGCAGAUUAGGUAGUUGGUGAGGUAAAGGACUCGACCAAGCCUUCGGAUCUGUAGCUGGUCUGAGGAGGACGACCAGCCACACUGGGACUGAGACACGGCCAGACUCUACGGAGGCAGCAGU